GAAUAAGAACCUCAUCAAACCUAAGAAGGAAGAGAGAAAGCGGGAGAAAGAACAGGGGAGACAUGAGCAAAUAGCUGCAAGUGUGCUGCUGCCACCCACGCAAGCGGUUUGUUAAAACAGAUUGCUGCUUGUUAAAGCACUCAAAGAGAGUGGUGCUGCACAGGUAAAAACUAAUCCCAGAUCUGGAACUAUGAAUGAAAAUCUCUCCUGAGAAAGUGAGGUUUUCAGAUUGCUGUUUUUCAAUUACUUGUACCACUGUGAAGAUUUGGGGCUGGGGAGAGAGGAAGGGCUUGGUUCUGCUAGAGCCCUAGUCUCCCUGCUUCCUCACCCAGUUUACACCAUGUUGUUCCACACCCAGAUUAUGACUCUUUUUCUCAAACUGCCAACAAAUGAGAAUGUAACAUCCAAAAUUUAUUUCGGUUUUUGUUUUUCCUUCCCCACACCACUUCUCCUCUAUCUCCAGGGCAAACACCACACAUGAAACAGGAGAGAAAGUCUCACUUCUGCUCUUUUUAUACCAUAUAGCAUGGAUUUCAUUGUGGACUGCUCUUGCUGAAGCCGCUUGUUUCUGGGAAUCUACUGAAGUCCAUUAAGGAGAAGGCUAAUCUGCCACGCAUAUCUCUUAAUGCAGUUUUCUUGUAAAAUGAGCUGAACAGAAUCAGAUAAUAGAAAUGGUCUCCUACACAGGUUUUCGUAAGCAGGGUGUAAGCUGUACUCCAUCAGACCCUGUCUCACUGAAGAAUAGGAAACAUGGAUGUGAAGACAGAGAAAUAAUUGUCUACAAAGGUCAUAAGAUAACAAAGAUCUUGACUGGCUUGCAAGUCUGAUUGGCAACCAAGGUAGGUGCCAAGCAUAUGUAUCACAAACUCAUGCUGGUUAGCAUCGGCAUGCUCUGAAGAGGAUACAUACAAUCCAUUAGACACAGCUGUUAGUCAUGUGCCUGCUUACUGUUUCACAUGGGAAAACAUUACUUGAAAACUCUUUACUUAAAAGCACUUUAAUUUUGUGGAGAACUGCCUAACGUUUUGCUCUAGGUAUAGGACACAUAAAUGAAAAGUCCUGAGGCGUAUAUUAGAUUUGUACUAACCUGUAAUUUGUGAAGAUUAAGGACUUUACUGUUCAGAUAUAUGGAAUUUUGUUAGACUUUUAUGAUGUUGGUAAGAACCUGAUGUGCACCUCAUGGAAACAAGUAGUUUUCUAAAAAUAAAAAUGUUUAUAUGCCAUUCUCUGAAUGCUUU
rnacentral:lncRNA from 1 species